GACGGAGGGUGCAAGCGUUGUUCGGAAUUACUGGGCGUAAAGGGCGCGUAGGCGGUCUGUUAAGUUCGGUGUGAAAGCCCCCGGCUCACCUGGGGAACUGCGCCGGAAACCGACAGACUCGAGUACCGGAGAGGAGGGUGGAAUUCCUGGUGUAGCGGUGAAAUGCGUAGAUAUCGGGAGGAACACCAGUGGCGAAGGCGGCUCUCUGGGCCUUUCCUGACGCUGAGACGCGAAAACGUGGGGAGCGAACCGG
rnacentral:rRNA from 1 species